GACAUAGGUCGCAAACGUUAUCCGGAAUUACUGGGCGUAAAGCGCGCGCAGGCGGUCCUUUAAGUCAGGGGUGAAAGCCCAGAGCUCAACUCUGGAACUGCCUUUGAAACUAGAGGACUUGGGUACGGGAGAGGUGAGUGGAAUUCCGAGUGUAGAGGUGAAAUUCGUAGAUAUUCGGAAGAACACCAGUGGCGAAGGCGGCUCACUGGCCCGUUACCGACGCUCAGGCGCGACAGCGUGGGGAGCAAACAGG
rnacentral:rRNA from 1 species